UAUGGUUCUAUGGUUGUAUGAUUCUACUAUUCUAUGAUUUUGAGUAUUUUCUGACAUUCAUCAUGUCAGAUUUCAAAGUAAGAGUGGAUAAGAGUGCAAGUAUCACAGAUUUUCUGACAGAGACAAUAUUCAGCCCAGUAAGAAGCUUUUCUAUUCAAAACUAAAAAUACAGUUUCAGGGCUAAAAAGAUGCUUUGCAACUAUUUUGUUCCCUGCUUCACUGUG
rnacentral:lncRNA from 12 species